GGAGAUUGUAGCUCAGUAGGUUAGAGCGUCGGAUUGUGGUUCCGAAGGUCGCGGGUUCGAGCCCCGUCUUUCUCCC
rnacentral:tRNA from 1 species